GACGAACGCUGGCGGCGUGCUUAACACAUGCAAGUCGAACGGUGAAGCGCCUUCCUUUUUGGUGGGUGCGGAUGAGUGGCGAAUGGGUGAGUAACACGUGAGUAACCUGCCCCCUUCUUCUGGAUAACCGCAUGAAAGUGUGGCUAAUACGGGAUAUUCUGGGUCUGUCGCAUGAUGGGUCUGGGAAAGAUAUUGUUUCGGUGGGGGAUGGGCUCGCGGCCUAUCAGCUUGUUGGUGGGGUGAUGGCCUACCAAGGCGGUGACGGGUAGCCGGCCUGAGAGGGUGGCGGGUCACAUGGGGACGGGGCCACGGCCCAGCUCCUAAGGGGAGGAGGAGGGGGGGAUAUUGGAAAAAGGGGGGAAGGCUGGAGGCAGGGCGGCGGGGUGAGGGAGGGGGGCCUUCGGGUGGUGAACCUUUUUGGCAAGUGAAGAAGGCUGGCCUCGUUUGUGGGGGGUUGACGGUAGCUGGAUAAGAAGCGCCGGCUAACUACGUG
rnacentral:rRNA from 1 species